AGCACCGAAGCCCAUUGUCAAAAGGCAGCAAGGCAAUGUGGUGUUUAGGCGAGUACCUGGGGUUGCUGAGUUACUCUAAGUCCAUCUAUGAUUCGUGGCACCAACUUGGUCCUUAGCGGGUGGAAGACCCUUACGAGAAUACGAUUAGUCGGUUUGUUAAAGCAGCCUCUAGAUGUGCCCGUCUUGGAGUCGGAUUGCUUGAGAAUGCAGUCCAAAGUGGGUGGUAAACUCCAUCCAAGGCUAAAUACCUGCACGAGUCCGAUAGCAAACAAGUACCGUGAGGGAAAGUUGAAUUUUUUUUCUGAAGAGA
rnacentral:rRNA from 1 species